UAGGGAAUCUUCAGCAAUGGACGAAAGUCUGACCGAGCAACGCCGCGUGAGUGAAGAAGGUUUUCGGAUCGUAAAACUCUGUUGGUAGAGAAGAACGUUGGUGAGAGUGGAAAGCUCAUCAAGUGACGGUAACUACCCAGAAAGGGGCGGCUAACUACGUGCCAGCAGCCGCGGUAAUACGUAGGUCCCGAGCGUUGUCCGGAUUUAUUGGGCGUAAAGCGAGCGCAGGUGGUUUAUUAAGUCUGGUGUAAAAGGCAGUGGCUCAACCAUUGUAUGCAUUGGAAACUGGUAGACUUGAGUGCAGGAGAGGAGAGUGGAAUUCCAUGUGUAGCGGUGAAAUGCGUAGAUAUAUGGAGGAACACCGGUGGCGAAAGCGGCUCUCUGGCCUGUAACUGACACUGAGGCUCGAAAGCGUGGGGAGCAAACAGGAUUAGAUACCCUGGUAGUCCACGCCGUAAACGAUGAGUGCUAGAUGUAGGGAGCUAUAAGUUCUCUGUAUCGCAGCUAACGCAAUAAGCACUCCGCCUGGGGAGUACGACCGCAAGGUUGAA
rnacentral:rRNA from 1 species